rnacentral:snRNA from 1 species
AAGUUGAGUGACCUUUAUGUCGGUACCUCUAUCUCAAAGAGAUGAAAGCAGGAGGAAAAUGUCCCAUCCAAGUUCAAAGCUGGGAAAGACCUAACAAAGCUAGACGGGGUUGAGUUGAAAGAA